rnacentral:rRNA from 1 species
GACGAACGCUGGCGGCGUGCUUAACACAUGCAAGUCGAACGGAAAGGCCCUGCUUUUGCGGGGUGCUCGAGUGGCGAACGGGUGAGUAACACGUGAGUAACCUGCCCUUGACUUUGGGAUAACUUCAGGAAACUGGGGCUAACACCGGAUAGGAGCUCCUGCUGCAUGGUGGGGGUUGGAAAGCUUCGGCGGUAGGGGAUAGACUCGGGGCUUAUCAGCUUGUGGGUGGAGUAGUGGCUUACCAAGGCUUUGACGGGUAGCCGGCCUGGGAGGGGGGCCGCCCACAUUGGGACUAAGAGACGGCCCAGACUCCAACGGGAGGCAACGGUGGAGAAUAUUGCACAGUCAGCGGACGCCUGAUACGACGACGCCGCGUGCGGAAUGACGGCCUUCUGGUUGUGAACCGCUUUCGCCUAUGACGAAGCGUGAGUGACGGUAAUGGGUGAAGAAGCACCGGCUAACUACGUG